rnacentral:lncRNA from 10 species
CUUGAAUGAGAAGUGCCUGGAGAAGGAAAGGCACCAGCAUGCCUGGUGGGGGUUGCUUCUCUGUGCAUCUUCAUGUAAAACAUCAGGGGCUUCCAGUUUUCUGACCCUUUAAGGAGUUUUUUGACCCUUACUCUCACAAGGACAAAAUUGGAGACACUGGUUAUUUUCCCCAAGGCUUUGAAUGAAUGACAUGCUUUCGGAUACAAACAGACUCCUUUAAGAAAUCAAUGUUAACUUAGAGAGCCAAUAAAAU